GUUGAUUCAAGCGUACUGCUGUUGUUUAUUUUAAGUCAAUAGUACACAAAAAAUGCAUUUUUAAUGUCAUCAUAACAGACUUUGUCCAUACAAUCUGUUUAUGAGCACCAAACCUGAAACAAAAAACAAAGUGGCAAUCAUCAAUACAUGUUGAUGAUGUCAGGUACCAGAAGCUCAAAACCAGCAGUUUGUCAUCGACUCACAAGACAAAGACACCGAUGUCUCUGACGUACAUCACAUGGCGACACGGAGCGGGGCCUGCAAAGGGGAACGCAAGAGAACAAAGUCCCUAUUCUUACUGCGUGACCACAUUCAGAGACGGCGAGGACACAAGCGGUCUCUGUGAGGUAUCAGCUGAUGAACUCAGUCGGGAAGCAAGGUUCUGCCAACAUGGCCGCUGCAUACAUUUGUGCAUGCUCACUGGCGCUAAGAGUCGCCAUAGUAACCACAUAAUACAAUGACAGCGAGGCGGGGAGAGGCGAUUCGGCCAUUUUGGGAGGUGCGUUGACACAAAAGCCGCAUCCGCUGCCAUUUGAGAAGACGUUGCAUGCUCUUUCUCCAUCACCUCUCAGCCCACCCCGCCUCCCUCCAACAUCCAACAUCUGCAGCUUGAGCCCUCAGUGACAUCUCAGGAGGCUAUUUAUAGCCGCUCUGUGUUACUUUGGUAAGAUGGCGCCAGGAAGGCAUGUACAGUUUGUUCCCUGCAGUGGUCCCUGAAUACACAGCUAGUUACUAUCAAAUUUGCUUCUCGUGUCUUGGUUAUAAUUUCAACCAGACCAUUUAAAAAUGUAAUAAAAAAAAAAAAAUUAUUUUGUUGAAAUAUAGUUUACUAACAAAGACAAAAAGCCUUAAUGCAAUAAACAAAUGUUAUGUGAUUCUUUUUAUGCAUUAAAAUGUAAAACGAGGAGGGUUAAUGCUGUAUUUGGUCAAUUAAAGCAUUUGCUUUUUGUCAUAUAUUAACAUUAAGCUAAAUUAUUACAUAAAAAUAUAAUUUUGUAUGAUCGUAUGGAAGUCUAGUGAUAUGUGGGUAAGAGUCUAUUGCAUAACAACAAUUAUUACUCAUUCAUUUUGGUCACAACCAGAACCCUGAUGUUAUUUUUUAUUUAGGCGCCUUAAUAGUUUCCAUAUUUUCUAAUAAUAAAUCAUCAAAGCUUUGCGCGAUGCAUUAGGCAGUUAAUUGUUUUUAAUACAC